UGCUGAGAAGCUUAGGUAAGCGAGACAUUGAAGAUGUUUAGACGGGUAUAUCCCCUUGGCAG
rnacentral:tRNA from 1 species